AGCUGAAGUUGACGGAAGAGCAGCAAGAAGCGUAUAAAAUCAUUAAUACUACAACCUUACUUACAAAGCUACUAGUUCUACAUUAUUUACAAAGCUACUAGUAUUGGAUAGUAAUGAUUUGUUCCAGUCAAAAUUUCUAUAUGUUUUAAAAGAAAGAGGAAGAAUUACAAAUCUUACACUGUCAAGGUGUAUCUUAAACUUAAAUUAAUUUUAAAGAAGCUGAAGUUGACGAAAGAGCAGCAGGAAGUGUACAAAUUCACUAAUUCUACAACAUUACUUACAAAGCUACUAGUUCCACAAUGUUACUGACAAAGCUACUAGUACUGGAUAGUAAUAAUUUGUUCCUGUUAAUAUUACAAUGCUCACUAUUUAGUUUGGAUUUAAAAUUUCUAUAUGUUUUAAAAGAAAAAGAAUUACCAAUCUUACACUGUCAAGGUGUAUCUUAGACUUAACCCAAUUCCAAAGAAGCUAAAGUUGACAGAAGAGCAACAGGAAGCGUACAAAAUCAUUAAUUCUACAAUAUUACUUACAAAGCCACUAGUUCUACAACGUUACUUACAAAACAACUAGUACUGGAUAGUAAUAAUUUGUUUCUACCAAUGCUACAAUGCUCACUAUUUAGUUUUGAUUUAAAAUUUGGAUUUAAAAUAUGGUAAGAAAAAUUUUCAUACAUUCACAAAUCACAUUCAAAAUAAA